UACGUAGGGUGCGAGCGUUGUCCGGAAUUAUUGGGCGUAAAGAGCUCGUAGGCGGUGUGUCACGUCGUUCGUGAAAAACCUGCAGCUUAACUGUGGGCGUGCGGUCGAUACGGGCAUCACUUGGAGUUCGGGUAGGGGGAGACUGGAAUUCCUGGUGUAGCGGUGAAAUGCGCAGAUAUCAGGAGGAACACCGGUGGCGAAGGGCGGGGU
rnacentral:rRNA from 1 species